rnacentral:tRNA from 1 species
GGCUAUAGCUCAGUGGUAGAGCGCUUGCCUUGUAUGUGUGAUGCACUGAGUUCAAUCCUCAACACCA